AACGAACGCUGGCGGCAUGCCUAACACAUGCAAGUCGAACGAGACCUUUGGGUCUAGUGGCGCACGGGUUCGUAACGCGUUGGAACCUUCCCUUAGGUUCGGAAUAACUCCCCGAAAGGGGUGCUAAUACCGGCUAAUGUCUUCGGACCAAAGAUUUAUCGCCUUUGGAUGGGCCCGCGUUGGAUUAGCUAGUUGGUAGGGUAAAAGCCUACCAAGGCGACGAUCCAUAGCUGGUCUGAGAGGAUGAUCAGCCACACUGGGACUGAGACACGGCCCAGACUCCUACGGGAGGCAGCAGUGGGGAAUACUGGACAAUGGGCGAAAGCCUGAUCCAGCAAUGCCGCGUGAGUGAUGAAGGCAUUAGGGUUGUAAAGCUCUUUUACCCGGGAUGAUAAUGACAGUACCGGGAGAAUAAGCUCCGGCUAACUCCGUG
rnacentral:rRNA from 1 species